GUCUCAUUGAGGAAACUAUCCUAGUAACAACAAUGAGAAGUCAGCCGAACCCAUAGUAGCGUUGAAACUUCUGUAAUGGAAGUGGAGCGAAGGGG
rfam:Streptococcus gallolyticus strain ICDDRB-NRC-S1, complete genome.